rnacentral:SRP_RNA from 1 species
GCCAGGUGUGGUGGUGUGCACCUGUAGUCCCAGCUCCUUGGGAGGCUGAGGUGGGAGGAUCACCUGAGCCCAGGGAGGUUGAGGCUGCAGUGAGAGGAGAUCGUGCCACUGCACUCCAGCCUGGGUGACAGAGAGAGACCCUGUCUCAA